rnacentral:rRNA from 1 species
AAACUUUUAACAAUGGAUCUCUUGGCUCUCGCAUCGAUGAAGAACGCAGCAAAAUGCGAUAGGUAAUAUGAAUUGCAGAAUUUCGUGAAUCAUCAAAUUUUUGAACGCAAAUUGCACUUCUUGGUAUUCCAAGGAGUACACAUGCUUGAGGGUCAGUU